rnacentral:rRNA from 1 species
CCCCAGGAGGGGGAUAACGGUUGGAAACGACCGCUAAUACCCCAUAUGCCGAUAGGUGAAAUGAAUUUCGCCUGAGGAUGAGCCCGCGUCUGAUUAGCUAGUUGGUAAGGUAAAGGCUUACCAAGGCUUCGAUCAGUAGCUGGUCUGAGAGGAUGAUCAGCCACACUGGGACUGAGACACGGCCCAGACUCCUACGGGAGGCAGCAGUGGGGAAUUUUCCGCAAUGGGCGAAAGCCUGACGGAGCAACGCCGCGUGAGGGACGAAGGCCUCUGGGCUGUAAACCUCUUUUCUCAAGGAAGAAGAUAUGACGGUACUUGAGGAAUAAGCCACGGCUAAUUCCGUGCCAGCAGCCGCGGUAAUACGGGAGUGGCAAGCGUUAUCCGGAAUUAUUGGGCGUAAAGCGUCCGCAGGCGGCCUUUCAAGUCUGCUGUUAAAGCGUGGAGCUUAACUCCAUUAUGGCGGUGGAAACUGAUAGGCUUGAGUAUGGUAGGGGCAGAGGGAAUUCCCGGUGUAGCGGUGAAAGUGCGUAGAUAUCGGGAAGAACACCAGUGGCGAAGGCGCUCUGCUGGGCCAUUACUGACGCUCAUGGACGAAAGCCAGGGGAGCGAAAGGGAUUAGAUACCCCUGUAGUCCUGGCCGUAAACGAUGAACA